UACGUAGGGUGCGAGCGUUGUCCGGAAUUAUUGGGCGUAAAGAGCUCGUAGGCGGUUUGUUGCGUCGGCUGUGAAAACCUACAGCUUAACUGUGGGCUUGCAGUCGAUACGGGCAGACUUGAGUUCGGUAGGGGAGACUGGAAUUCCUGGUGUAGCGGUGAAAUGCGCAGAUAUCAGGAGGAACACCGGUGGCGAAGGCGGGUCUCUGGGCCGAUACUGACGCUGAGGAGCGAAAGCGUGGGGAGCGAACAGG
rnacentral:rRNA from 1 species